GCCCAUCAGCGGGGGAUAACACUUGGAAACAGGUGCUAAUACCGCAUAAUUCCAUUUACUGCAUGGUAGAUGGAUGAAAGGCGCUUUUGCGUCACUGAUGGAUGGACCCGCGGUGCAUUAGCUAGUUGGUGGGGUAACGGCUCACCAAGGCGACGAUCAGUAGGGGUUCUGAGAGGAAGGUCCCCCACACUGGCACUGAGAUACGGGCCAGACUCCUACGGGAGGCAGCAGUAGGGAAUAUUGGG
rnacentral:rRNA from 1 species